ACAAGCGGUGGAGCAUGUGGUUUAAUUCGAUGAUACGCGAGGAACCUUACCUGGGCUCAAAUGUAUGUUGACGUAUUCUGAAAGGGAUACUUCUUCGGACAAUAUACAAGGUGCUGCAUGGUUGUCGUCAGCUCGUGCCGUGAGGUGUCGGGUUAAGUCCCAUAACGAGCGCAACCCUAUCAUUAGUUGCCAUCAGGUCAAGCUGGGGACUCUAAUGAAACUGCCUACGCAAGUAGUGAGGAAGGUGGGGAUGACGUCAAAUCAGCACGGCCCUUACGUCCAGGGCUACACACGUGCUACAAUGGCCGGUACAAAGGGCAGCUACCUGGUGACAGGAUGCUAAUCUCAAAAGCCGGUCUCAGUUCGGAUCGGAGUCUGCAACCCGACUCCGUGAAGCUGGAAUCGCUAGUAACCGCGCAUCAGCCAUGGCGCGGUGAAUACGUUCCCGGGCCUU
rnacentral:rRNA from 1 species